GGCAUCAGCAAAGCAGUGAAUAUUCUUUUAUUUUCCCAUUUUCACUAACCAAAUCCAGUCUGCAGUGCAAUUUCCAUCUGAGUUGAUCUAUGCUUUGGUGAGAGGAGUAAUAAAUAACACUUUAGAGCAGACUUCAAAAUGCCUUUUUUCUUUGAUCUGAGUAAUUAAGGAGUCAAGUUGCUGUUCCUAAGCAUUUUCUGAUGGAAUUACACGAGUUACACAGCUCUUCAUUUGUAUGUCAUUAAACAUUAUGUUUUAUUGCUGCUGUUCAAACAAUUAGUACCUAAAUAUGCCCCAUAUUCUCAUAAAGAGGCGGUAGCAGUGCUAAUGUUAAUGCCCUGAUUAACAGUUUGUUCCCAUCCAGAGUCCACCAUCAUGCCUGAUUGCCAUUUAAUGUCAAUCAGAUCUUUACUGAUGCCCUUCUGAAGUCAUUCUCUUCUGCAGUCAUUUAACUGCCCAGCAAAGUGAGGAUAAGUCAAACAAGAAAGUUAACUAAAAAUGGCAUUUCUUUUAACACAGGAAUUUUUUAAAAAGUUCAUUACAAGUUUUGGUUAUAAAAAGGCCACUGCUUCAUGGUGAUCAGUCAUUUUGACAUUUUUAUGGUGUUUUUAUUACCCCUGGCUCAUUUCCAUACUAAAGGGAACAUUUGUAACAAUACUUGCUCUCUCUGUUAUGAUUAGGAUUGUGCUUUUGCCGUGCUUUGUUGGGCUGUUGCUGCGCUCAAUAAUGCUCUUGGCACACGUCCUCCCAGACCCUGCGGUGUGUUUAUUCAAAGGGAAGGAAAAAGAAGUGUCUACUAAAACAAUAAACUACUACUGCUUGCGUUAACAUGGCCAUAACUUCCUUGUUCUGCAGACAAUCAGUUAGCAAAGCUGUUAGGUAAACUUGCUCCUUCACUGUUGAAAAAAUAAAUAUUCAUGAAUCUUGCAGCCACAUUUUCCCGUGCUUUAUAAUGGAGUUGAAGACCAUGAAGGAUUUUAAAGCUAAUAAUUUAACCAGAGAGAUAAGGAUGGGGGCCCGGAUCCUGAAAGUAGUGGGAGCUGAGAUCCUAAAUGGUACUGGAUUACUUAAGAAAGGAUGUGAGCCGGUCAACACAGGAGAAACCAUGCUAAUUAAAUCCAAGGUAAGAUUAAAUACAGGUCAGUGUUUGCCAUCUUGCCAACUCCUGAAACCUCUAGUGGUGAUAGCCCAAAGGCUAAAGCAUCUUGAUUCAUUUCCAAUGCAAAGCGUGGAACAUUACACAUCAAUCUCUGUAAUGCAAAUAUGUACCAAACAUUACCAAAGCUCAGGUUUUAUCCUACUCUCAUAAAAGACUAUUCUUUAUCUAACAAGAUAUCCAGGGAAGAUGGCUGCACCUUUUCAUACCACAUGAUCUGAGUGGGAGCUCACCCUGGAAGCUCUCCUCUCAGUGAUUGACCCUGCAGGGUUCCAACAUGAAUGAGGUGUCUUGAAGAAAGGAAAUGUACUCAUCAAUACAAUUGGGUCUAUAGCUUAGGACUCAGAAGAGCAAAAUAUUACACACAGGCACAUCCUAGAUACCUGGACUCUUUUGGGAUUUAGAUGCUCAAAGAUUCUGUGACCCUAAAAUAUUUCAUCUUUGAAAUCUUAUUGGGC
ensembl:lncRNA